CCUACGGGUGGCAGCAGUGGGGAAUAUUGGGCAAUGGGCGCAAGCCUGACCCAGCAACGCCGCGUGAAGGAAGAAGGCUUUCGGGUUGUAAACUUCUUUUCUCAGGGACGAAGCAAGUGACGGUACCUGAGGAAUAAGCCACGGCUAACUACGUGCCAGCAGCCGCGGUAAUACGUAGGUGGCAAGCGUUAUCCGGAUUUACUGGGUGUAAAGGGCGUGUAGGCGGGAAAGCAAGGCCGAUGUGAAAACCAUGGGCUCAACCUGUGGCCUGCAGUUGAACCUGUUGUUCUUGAGUACUGGAGAGGCAGACGGAAUGCGUGGGGUAGCGGUGAAAUGCGGAGAUAGUAGGAGGA
rnacentral:rRNA from 1 species